AAGGCAUCUUUUUGUUUUUAAAAGACCUUCUUCGGAGGGUAUGCUUAAAGAGGGGCUUGCGCCACAUUAGUUAGUUGGUGAGGUAAAGGCUUACCAAGAUUAUGAUGUGUAGCUGGACUGAGAGGUUGAACAGCCACAUUGGGACUGAGACACGGCCCAAACUCCUACGGGAGGCAGCAGUAGGGAAUUUUCGGCAAUGGAGGAAACUCUGACCGAGCGACGCCGCGUGAACGAUGAAGUAUUUCGGUAUGUAAAGUUCUUUUAUUGAAGAAGAAAAAAUAGUGGAAAAACUAUAUUGACGUUAUUCAAUGAAUAAGCCCCGGCUAACUAUGUGCCAGCAGCCGCGGUAAGACAUAGGGGGCGAGCGUUAUCCGGAAUUAUUGGGCGUAAAGGGUGCGUAGGCGGUUAGAUAAGUCUAUAAUUUAAUUUCAGUGCUUAACGCUGUCUUGUUAUAGAAACUGUCUUGACUAGAGUGAGAUAGAGGCAAGCGGAAUUCCAUGUGUAGCGGUAAAAUGUGUAAAUAUAUGGAGGAACACCAGAAGCGUAGGCGGCUUGCUGGGUCUUUACUGACGCUGAGGCACGAAAGCGUGGGGAGCAAACAGGAUUAGAUACCCUGGUAGUCCACGCUGUAAACGAUGAGUACUAAGUGUCGGGGAAACUCGGUACUGAAGUUAACACAUUAAGUACUCCGCCUGAGUAGUACGUACGCAAGUAUGAAACUUAAAGGAAUUGACGGGACUCCGCACAAGCGGUGGAUCAUGUUGUUUAAUUCGAAGAUACACGAAAAACCUUACCAGGUCUUGACAUACUCUGCAAAGCUAUAGAAAUAUAGUGGAGGUUAUCAGGGAUACAGGUGGUGCAUGGUUGUCGUCAGUUCGUGUCGUGAGAUGUUAGGUUAAGUCCUAAAACGAACGCAACCCCUGUCGUUAGUUGCCAGCACGUAAUGGUGGGGACUUUAGCGAGACUGCCAAUUAAACAUUGGAGGAAGGUGGGGAUAACGUCAAAUCAUCAUGCCCCUUAUGAUCUGGGCUACAAACGUGAUACAAUGGCUAUUACAAAGAGUAGCUGAAACGCGAGGUUUUAGCCAUCUCAAAAAGGUAGUCUCAGUACGGAUUGAAGUCUGCAACUCGACUUCAUGAAGCUGGAAUCGCUAGUAAUCGCGAAUCAGCAUGUCGCGGUGAAUACGUUCUCG
rnacentral:rRNA from 1 species